rnacentral:rRNA from 1 species
GAUGAACGCUGGCGGCGUGCCUAAUACAUGCAAGUAGGACGCAGUUGCGAACGGGUGAGUAACGCGUAGGUAACUACAUAUCAGCGGGGGAUAAGUAUUGGUAACGAUAGCGAAUACCGCAUACUAGUAGCUGGAUCUGCGUUGUAUUAGCUAGUAGGGAGGGUAAUGGCCUACCUAGGCAACGAUUCAUUGCCGACCUGAGGUGGUGAUCCGCCACACUUGGACUGCGUCACGGACCAAACUCCUACGGGAGGCAGCGGUAGGGAAUCGUCGGCAAUGGGGGGAACCCUGACUGAGGCACGCCGCGUGGGGGAAGAAGGGUUUCGGGGCGUAAAUGUCCGUUGUUAUGGAAGCGGUACCUACCCAUAAAGGGACGGCUAACUACGUGCCAGCAGCCGCGGUAAUUC